AAAUAAACUCUGAUAUAAGGGAGGAGAUCUGCCUCGGGUGAAUCCAUGAGCAGCUAUCGAUAGGGAUUCAGCUUGUUAUUUCUCUUUAUAGUCGCUGUUUAUCUUGUGCCAGAAAAUCAGAUGUCAUUUUUUUCUUCCUUGAGUGUUUCUUCGGGGUUUACAGUGUUAGAAUGGCAUGGUCACUGGGAUGUGUCAUUCCUUUGCUCCAUUGUCACAGCUUGUAGCUAAUGUCUGUUGUUGCAUCUUUAUCAUGUUACUGGUGUUCAUCCUGUUGGUUAUACAUGUGGCUUCAGAUACUAAGAUUAUCUUAGCAAUCUACAUAUUCUGCAAUUCAGCAUUUCUUUGCGUGUGAAUACUGAAUAUAAUUUGUUGUGAAAUCUGCUUCUGAGACGAAUGCAAUUGGGACAUGGCUGUUGUGUAAACUCAAUAUUUCUUCGCCAGGAAAAAACGUGUGGUUCCUUUAAGAAGGAAAAAAAACUCAUGGUAUCCUAUAUAUCAUAGCAGUGCAGUUAAUUGAGCACAUAAUCUCUAUGCAGUUUAUAUUUUUGAGGCGUUUUAGGCAUAUUUAUACCACUCUUGCCCAAACUUUGGCUGGCUUGUGCUCUUUAGUGCUUGGGCUGUAGGUCACUGUGGUUAUUAGCUGACCAGGACUCUCAUUAUUGACUCUGUCAGGUUUUGGUGUUUCUACUUGAGUUUGUUCCCUCAUUGCAAGGUUGACUCCACCAUGCCUUGUCUUAACAUAUUUGUGUUUUUGAGGGUGAAAGCUGACGGAGCUGAGAUUGAGAUUGAGAUACCAAAGGUCAAUCGGCAAGAUGCAUGCUUCAAGUAGCUAUUAUCACUGGAACUUGGUAGUAUCUGGGAACACUCCAGGUAAGGAUUUUGUAUUCAGUGAUCUCUCUAACUCUUGAUGAAUGAGCACAAUGGUAGAGAUUGAAGGAAGAGAUCCAACAACUGACAGGGUCAGUUUCUUCCUGCAAUGUGUUCUCAUGCAAGUUCCAAGUCAGAUAUUUUUUCCUGGAACAAUGCUCUGAUAACUAAAUCGGUGCAGGGAACUCAAAGCCAUCUCCUUUGGUGUUUGCAUUCACCUGAAUUCUCAAAUUUAUCCCGGAUCUCUCGCAUUUUAAGGUGUGUAUUAUGGAGGCGCACUCGCGUGGAUGUGUCCGUGGCCGUGUGACACACGUACGUGAUACAUGCCAAAAUGUCGCCGAGGUGUCGGUGGACCUUGAUGAUGAAGAUGGUUCUGCCAAAGAGGUCAGUAUCCAGAUAUGUGACUCUGAGUGAUCAGCUGGCUGGUUGUCCCAUCGAAAAUGAGGUACACGUUUGCUUUGCGCUAUCAGCACGUCUCGUUUUCAGGCCUUUGUCCAGAAUAUUCCAGUACAAUGCAUUUGUUUUUGCUUCAGUCUUUUGCUUUUUCCUGGAUUCCAGUUUCAUUGGUAUGCUGCGCGCAGACUGUGAGGUUUUGGUGUAGUUAUUAUGAUUGUGCGUGUCGUCCAUUCAUUCACGGUUGAUUUACCUCACGGUUGAUUUACCACACAUUGUCUCACACUUUUGUUUGUUUCAUUUAUAUGACAAGUGAGGCGAGAGGUUGAUGAGGCUGUGAUUGAGAAACCAGAGGUCAAUCCGUGAUAAGAUCUAUGCUUGAAGUAGUUAUUAUAACUGGAAACAUGGCAUCUGGGAACAGACACUCACUCAGGUAAGCAGACGGUAGUAUUCAGUAACCUCCCUUCUGAAUUCACUUGGAAAAAACAAACCUCACUUCAGGUUGAAAGGUUGCGGAUUGCUCCUGAGAAACGAUCCUGGGUUGGCGCAUGGGAACUGAAAACCACGGGAUUCAAAUCUUGGUGCUCGCUUUUACCUGAAUCUACCUCAGAUCCUUUGCUAGUAGGGGACAUACUCGUGUGGCGUGCCUCAGGCGUUCUAGUACAUGCCAAGAUUCCACCAAGUUACCGGUGAAUGAUUGGUACGGACAUCUGCCUUGAUGACGAUUCGACCAAGAGGCUGGCUGGUAAUGCUAAGCAAUCGAUGGCCAGAUAGCCGGUUGUUCCAUCAAAAAACGCGAACAUGCUUGCUUGGCGACAUUGAGGUGUCAUUUCCACCGUUCGUCGUACGCCCUUGUCCACGAUAUUCCAAACCAUCCCUAUUUUGUUUCCUUUGUUCUUCUUGUGAAAUGGAUGUUUGAGCUGUCAAAUGUGAUGAGGGAGAAGAUCCGCCUUGGGUGAAUCCAUGAGCAGCUAUCGAUAGGAUUCAGCUUGUUGUUUCUCUUUAUAGUUGCUAUUUAUCUUAUGCCAGAAAAUCAGAUGUCAUUUAUUUCUUCCUUGAGCAUUUCUUUGGGGUUUACAGUGUUACAAUGGCAUGGUCACUGGGACGUGUCAUUCCUUUGCUCCAUUGUCACAGCUUUGUAGCCAAUGUCUGUUGUUGCAUCUUUAUCAUGUUACUGGUGUUCAUCCUGUUGGUUAUACAUGUGGCUUCAGUUACUAAGAUUAUUUUAGCAAUCUACUCCCUCUGUAAACUUUUAUAAGACGUUUUAGGUCACUUAGUGCCCAUAGAGGGAGUACAUAUUAGCCAAUUCAGCAUUUCUUUGCUUGUGUAAUUUGUUGUGAAAUCUGCUUCUGAGAUGAAUGCAAUUGGGACAUGGCUGUUGUGUAAACUUGGACAAACGGACAAUUUAACCCCAUUUCCUUGUAUUCCUGGGUAGUCAGCUCAAUCAACUCACUAUUUCGGUGGCGGGGAGGGGAGAGCGCCUACCGCCUAUCCAACGCCCGGGUUUGCAGUGUUUUUUUCUUUUUUCGAAACGAAGGCAAAAGCUAAGAAGGGUAACAGAAGUUUAUGACGAGGUCAUUACUCCUCAACAAAUGAGACUAAAGCCUACUCUCGCGGCAUAAUAGAGCCCAGGUGCCUAGCACCGGCGGUCACCCAUAACUUAGCCUCGUUCCGAACAUGCGCGAAGACGAUGGAAGGCAGUGUAGACUUCUUGCGAAAAACCCGUGCAUUCCUCUCGUUCCACAGUGCCCACGCCACAAGCAUGAGUGUGGUGGCAAUAGCUUUCUUCCUGUGACCAUGAGUAAGCACCACGGCAUACCACCAAUCUUGCACCGAAGGCAGGCCACCCCAUUGGUCAAGACGCAACUCCUACGCACCCAGCCACGUCUUUACGGCCUCCCACACACGGAUGGAGUACCUACACUUGAAGAGAAGGUGCGCCCUAGACUCCGGCUCCCUUUGACACAGCUGGCAUAGGCCACAGUUUGGCCAACCCCUCUUCUGCAAUCGAUCCGCGGUCCAAAUCCUAUUCUUGAUGACAAGCCAAGCAAAAAACUUGCACUUGGGCGGCGCCCAGUUAUCCCAGACCGCGGGCUUCAUGCGUGUGGUGAUGGCUCCCUCAAAUUGCGUGAGAUAGGCAGAAGCAGCGGAGUAAGAGCCAUUUGGCGUGCGAUCCCAAACGAUGGUGUCUGGAGUGUCAUGUUGCAAGAGAACAAUAUCAAGCCUCGCCCAAAGUGUGCAGAAUUGGUGGAUGUGGUUGACCGUGAGCCCUUGAGACAUUCAAUUCUCGAGAGCCAAGCAUUGUCCAGGAGUGCAUCCCGCACCGAAGAAUUCUUUCUUGCCGAGAUCUGAAACACGAGAGGAGCGAUAUCCUUGGGUUUUUCGCCACUGAGCCAAGGGGAUAGCCAGAACCUUGCCAACAGACCGUUGCCCACAGUAAUUGUGGUGACGUCGUAGAAAAGCUCCAUGUCCUUGGCAUCCCAAGGCUUGCUCAAAUCGACCCAAGCUCUGUCCGGCUCCGUCCACUCGUACUUGCAGUGUGUUUGUUUCUCAUGCAAGUUGCAACUGUGAUAAUAAUCAUCAGGCUUCUUCGAAUUGUUCCGAGUCUGAUUUUGCUUAUAAGCUUUUAAAUAACUAAACGGGUGCAGGGAGCUCAAAUCCAUCUCUUUUGUUGUUUGCAUUCAUGCGAAUUCUGGAAUUUAUCUCUCAUCUCUCGCAGUUUAGGUGUGCAUUAUUCCCGUACGUGAAUGCCAAAAUGUCACCGAGGUGUCGGUGGACCUUGAUGCUGACGACGACUCUGCCAAGAGGUCGGUGUCCAGAUCUGUGAAUGAUCAGUACGCCGAUUGUCCCAUCCAAACGUGGUACGCGUUGCCAUGCAUGCUCGUUUUCAGGUCUUUGUCCAGAAUAUUCCGUACCAGGCACUUUGUUGCGAAAUUGAUGUGGUAAAUGUCAGAUCACGGACGCAUCGGAAACACAUGGGAUCAUCAUACUCCAAGACUCGUACUUCUUUGUUCCUUUGUUUUUUCUUGAAUUCCAAUUUCAUUGGUAUUGCUGUGCGCGGUCCCUUAGACAGGGUUCGUGAAAAAAUAGAAGAAAAUGGCCUGGUUAAUUAACGAAAAUCCAGAUGAAAAUUGUUAGAACACGACCAAAAGUGAGGGCACCUGCUGACCUGCAAAGUCAUCAUCAUCAUUUCUCAUUGAGCAAACAACUUCGACUUCACGGCGGACGACCCAUGAAGACCUCUCUAAACAAAUGGCACACGAGAACCAAGUCAGCCUAUGCCAAAUAGCCGGCCAAACGCGCCGAGGAUUAGGCAGCUCCGAGUUUGGUCGUAGACUCACAAAAGAAAGAAGCACGCCUUGCCCUAACAUAGCCACAUCUGCCCAUCAUCCCUCCGCAUCGGCCCACAAAGCUACAACUCCGACUUCACGCUGAAGUACACAUCGAAUGGUCGAUGUCAAAGGACUUCCUGUGACUCUGCUACUCAUGCCACCAUUAUUGUUCCCACACAAGUAGCAACUCCACCAGGAGCGAGGCAGCUACCCCGCUACCCGCACUCGCAUCAUCGGCCGGGAACCUGCCGACCGCAAUGACGUGCGCAUCCAACCUCAGGAAAGUAUGAAGGGGAUUGAUGACCUUCAAGGCGAUGCCCCCAAGGGGUUAGCGACGUGGGAAAUGACACCGUCAUCCAACUCACACCGGAGUCUUAGGCCUUGUACAAUACAAGGUGCUUCGUAAAAUAAACCAUGUUUCCUUGAGAAUUCGUGCUUACUCUAUAGGAGGGGUGCCUACUUAAUCGUCUACCCUCUACAAAUAAGCACGAGUGCUUAAAAAAAGUGAUUUAUUUCUCUAAGCACCUUGCAUUGCACCGUGAUGAAUUCCCCCUCUGACAGAGUCUGGAAAAGACCUCCGGAUUGGAUCGUCAAACAGAGAGGCGUGGCCCCAGAAAAAUUAGGGUUAAUAUUCCGAAGUAUUUUCAGUAGUAUAUAGAAGCGUAGGCGUUGAAAGGAAAUGGAUGGAAGAUCCAGGGGCCCCAUGCGGCCCCACCAUGUGUCCCUGGGCGUGUGGUGGGGGUUGUGCCCCCCGGGUUGCUUCUUGUGCCUCUAAAAGCUUCCCAACCAAAAAAAGCUUUUGGGAUUUUUUUAGAUCUUUUGGAGCCCCGUAAAAUUGUUUUUCCCGGAAGUCCAAAAAUAUGCAGAAAACAAUAAUUGACAUUGGGCAUAAUAGGUUAGUCCAGAAAAAUAAUAAAAAUUUAUGUCAAAAUUCAAAACUAUGCCAAAAUGAUAUAAAUAUAGCAUGAAACAAACAAAAAUUAAAGAUACAUUUGUGAUGUAUCACACGUGUCCCCUUGGACUUGAAGAACAUGCGGUUCUCAGCGAGAAGUUGCGGAUCGUCCUUGACGAGCUUCCCCACCUAGGUGACAUUAUAGCGCUUGGCUUUGCAGUGCUCCUUCUCCUUGGCUAGGGAGACUACCCUAAUGGGAAGCGUGAGGAAGUCCGCGAUCAGGGUGUCGGUGGGGAAGUUGAGCCUCACCCGUGUCCCGUAGUAGCGGAGCAUCACAUCGUCGUACGAGCGUGCCGCCUCCUCCCUGAUGACAAACGUGCCAAUCCAGGCAAAUUUGACAAAUUUGACCUAUAGUCGAAAUCAAAUCACAGAAUGAACUGUCCGUGAAACUAUUUCACGCGGUUGACCCUUGGUGCCUAACUCUCAAGCGCUGCACUAGUGCAACGCCCAGGAGCUAGGCGCUGCACUAGUGCAACGCCCAGGAGCCAGGCGCUACACUGUGUAGUGUGGCGCCUAGCUCUCAGGCGCUGCACGCUGACUUGGGCACAUAUGGGUGCGACGCUGGCCGUGUAGCGCCUAUCUGUGAGGCGUUGCACAGUAGGGUGUGGCGCCGGCGUGGCGGACGCUACACAAAAGGGUCAGGGGAGUGAAAUAGUUUCGCAACCAGUUCAUUCUGUGAAAUGAUUUCGUCCUGAGGUCAAAAUUAUCAAAUUUGCCGCCAAUCCACUAGCGCUUUCCCAUGUCCGGGUUGAGGAUCUCCGCCACCCACCCGCCCCACAACCACUGCCUCGUACGAUGGUACCUCAGCGGUGGCGAUGGCGGCUGCGACAUGCCCAAUGGCAGGGAGCUCGCAAGGAAGAACUAUAAAAAAGUAUAUAAAUUUUAAAAUCAAAUGAAAAAAAUUAGCACGACCAUUGCUAACAAUUGGACAGAUAUUGAGUGCCAGAAAUUUGACGAAACAUAGAUGAAUCUACCUUUCACCAAAAUGUUGGCACUUAUUUUGAACCCCUAAAAUGUUUGAAAACAUGCACAACACAAAUUCAUUGCGAGCAAUACAAGGUUGGCUCGGCUCAAUGGUCAAAAUAUCACAAUUCAUUUGUUGUCUGUAUUGAUAGUGUAUUUGCCGAAAAACUAAAGGUAAACAUGGUUCCACGCGCACCCAUGUGAAUAGUAAAUUCAAAAAAUUACUAGGAAAAUUUAGAAAAUUCUAAAAUUUUGGGGAAUAAAACUUGGUCGUCCAUUCUAUUCAUGUGUGAAGUUUCGUGAAGUAUUGACACCGGUGGUAUUCUUAGUGAAGAAAAUACAAUUUGAAGUUUACUAUUCACCAAACAUUGUUUUUUAAAUAUAAUUCCGAUUUUGUCAUUUUUGCCCAGAAUACCAAGGGUGUCAUUUAUUCAUGAAACUUCAUAUGUGAGUAUACCGGAUGACAAUGUAUGUUACAAUUUUUUUCUAGUAUUUUUUUUGAAUUUAGUAUUCAUAAAGGGUGCACAUGGAAUCGUGUUCAAAAAAUCUGCGUCCGUGUAUUCGCUAAUUGUCAAGUUUAUAUUUGUAAAAGUCAACAUAGUAGUGUAGGAAGAGAAAUGACAUCUGUUCUGAAAAAACAAUGAAUCCCCUGCUGUAGAUAAUUUGUAUGGACUAAAGUAGCAAUCAAUAAAAGCAUAGACAUUACUUUUGUGCUAUUAAUUAUUGUAUGAACAAGGUCUAAAAAUAUAUUAACUAAAGUGCCUAGUUUGAAAGAGUUGUUGAUAACCCUAUGUGGGAAUGAAUUCUAUUUUCAUCCUCGAAGUAGAGGUAAACCUUUAAAGUUAUGGUGUGCCCCUAUAGAUAUCAACACCCACAUCGAAUCACCACCAACCGAACACCGAAUUCCAUCAAGCGUAGACCUGUUUUGUUAGAAAUCACACCAUCGAUAUCUAUUCCAUCAAAGCAUAUCCUAGCAUUUGCUAGGUUCGAAAUAAUACUAAAAUUUAAUAAUAAUGUAUAAAUGAAUUCGUAGGCUUUGCGCUAGAAGUGGCCGGCGGUCAAAUUGUCAUCUCCGACACCGACGACGACAGGUGGCGCGGCGCACAUGCUAGGUUGGGUGGCAGCGGACAUGUUGCACGCGGUUCAUGUGAGGUGAAGGGAGGGGAGGGUGACGAAAGAGCAGGAGGGUGGUGAUGGCGACAAUCAGUGAGGGCACUGGGACGGUGAAAGGCGAUGGAAGGCAUUUGGCUAGCUACGUAUUUGUGGAAUUUGGCGAAGUCCCAUGUGUGGCCGAAUUGUUAAGGGUAAUGAAAAAUUUACGUAUUUGUGGAUGCCAUUUACACAAAAUUUACCCUAGGUUAUGUUUUGAACAACUUUUUUUCCUGGGGUAAAUUUAUCGUGGUGUUUGUACCUACGUUAUCAUGUCUGUGGUGCAUAUAUUACCAUGCCUUUUACACAGAAAGUUGAUGCGGUAUGUUUUCAACAUCUUUUUUCCCUUGGGCAAAGUUAAUGUGGUGUUUGUACAUAAUUUAUUAGCUCGUUGGUGCGUAUAUUAUCGUUCUAUUUACACAAUAGUCAGCAGGGUAUGUUUUCAACAACUUUUUCCCCUGGUCAAUGUUACCACGUUGUUGUACGUAAGUUACCAGUUCAACCUGCAUGUAUUAUCAUGCUAUUUACAUAGAAAGUUGUCAAUGGUAUGUUUUCAAUAACUUUUUUCCCUUGGGUCAAAGUUAUGCGGUGUUUUUAUGUAAGUUAUCAGGUUUGUAGUUCGUAUAUUACCAUUCUAUUUACACAGAAGUUAUUGGGGGUUUAUUUUCGAUAACUUUUUCCUAAGUCAAUAACUUUUCCAUUCCAGAUCUAGACAAAGCUGGCGGGGGGCUUGAACAACAGGGUGGUGGUGCUGGUCGGAUUGGGAGGAGCUAGAGCAAGAGAUCACCAUAGCUCCUUGUUUGGGCGCUCAGGAGGGAGGAGAUGAACUAGAAGAGAUGUAGGGGUAGGUCGAAGUGGUGGACUAGGGAGAGAGCUUCGGCGGGCAGAGCUCUAGUGGACGGUGCAAUAUGUGGCUUUGUGCCAGAGCAAAGAGGAAGGAGUGGCGUCGGAGCUCAAGCCAUGGUGGCCGUAGCAAUGUGCAUGUCAACUGUUAUGCUAGAUUGUGCACUGUUUUGUCUUGGAUCAUAGCAAUGUGCAUGUCAAUGGUUAUGUUGGAUUGUACACUGCUUUGUCUUGGAUCAUAGCAAUGUGCAUGUUAAUGAUUAUACUAGAUUUUGUAGUGCCUAUGUCUUUGCAUGUCCAUGACUGUGCAAUGCCUUUGUGUUAGAUCAUGCUAAUGUGCAAUGUCCAUGUUUAUGAUUCAAUUAUGUGUUGCCUAUGUCUUUGCAUUCCCAUGUUGUGCUUGAUUCCGCACUUACUUGAUUGAUUGUGCAAUGGUAUCCAUCAACUGGCUUCCAAGACAUGCUCCCGCCGAAUCGGUUGGCACUGAAGCCUGUAGUGCCGGGGAGGAGGGAGCUGGCGGCGGCGCCUCUACACACGCAUGGCCAUCGACCCAAGCUCGACUACAAGGCGAGAGAACCAGUGCCACACCGGUUUUAUGUCCAGAUGGACAUGGACGACAUGGCAAUGCUUAUCAUCUCGACGGCUUUCUAAAGGCUCCUCAAGACCUGGCCGAACACCUUGCUACCUCUUGAGCAUGCGUUGGUUUGCCCCUGAAGAGGAAAGGGUGAUGCAGCAAAGUAGCGUAAGUAUUUCCCUCAGUUUUUGAGAACCAAGGUAUCAAUCCAGUAGGAGACUACACGCAAGUCCCUCGUACCUGCACAAACAAUUAAGAACCUUGCAACCAACGCGAUAAAGGGGUUGUCAAUCCCUUCACGGCCACUUGCAAAAGUGAGAUCUGAUAAAGAUAAUAAGAUAAAUAUUUUUGGUAUUUUUGUUGUAUAGAUUAAAAAGUAAAGAUUCCAAAAUAAACGGCGGCAGAAAUAGCACAUUAGCGGGAGAUUAAUAUGAUGGAAAAUAGACCCGGGGGCCAUAGGUUUCACUAGUGGCUUCUCUCAAGAUGGCAAAUUCUACGGUGGGUGAACAAAUUACUGUCGAGCAAUUAAUAGAAAAGCGCAUAAUUAUGAGAAUAUCUAGGCAUGAUCAUGUAUAUAGGCAUCACGUCCGUGACAAGUAGACCACUACAAAAAAAAAAAGACACAUCCGUGACAUUUUGGGCCGAACGAUUUUUUUUCUAUCAUACUUAUGACACUUCUAUGAAGAUAAUUGUGACAAAACCCGGUAUCAUCAUAGAUGUGGUGGGGUCCUACUUCUAUGACAAAAAAUCAUGACAGAAAAUGGGCUUUUCGUUCUGGGCGGGCCGGAGACGCAGCUGCAUGACAUUCUUUGGGCCAUCCAUGACGGAAAAAACCGUGGUAGAAGCGAGG
rnacentral:lncRNA from 1 species